GAUGAACGCUGGCGGCGUGCCUAAUACAUGCAAGUCGAGCGAACAGACGAGGAGCUUGCUCCUCUGAUGUUAGCGGCGGACGGGUGAGUAACACGUGGAUAACCUACCUAUAAGACUGGGAUAACUUCGGGAAACCGGAGCUAAUACCGGAUAACAUGUUGAACCGCAUGGUUCAACAGUGAAAGACGGUCUUGCUGUCACUUAUAGAUGGAUCCGCGCCGCAUUAGCUAGUUGGUAAGGUAACGGCUUGCCAAGGCAACGAUGCGUAGCCGACCUGAGAGGGUGAUCGGCCGCACUGGAACUGAGACACGGUCCAGACUCCUACGGGAGGCAGCAGUAGGGAAUCUUCCGCAAUGGGCGAAAGCCUGACGGAGCAACGCCGCGUGAGUGAAGAAGGUCUUCGGAUCGUAAAACUCUGUUAUUAGGGAAGAACAAAUGUGUAAGUAACUAUGCACGUCUUGACGGUACCUAAUCAGAAAGCCACGGCUAACUACGUG
rnacentral:rRNA from 1 species